AGGAAUUUUCGGCAAUGGGGGCAACCCUGACCGAGCAACGCCGCGUGCAGGACGACGGCCUACGGGUUGUAAACUGCUUUUCAGGGGGAUGACAUCGACCGUACCCCUGGAAUAAGGCUCGGCUAACUCUGUGCCAGCAGCCGCGGUAAGACAGAGGCGCCAAGCGUUGUCCGGAUUGACUGGGCGUAAAGCGCACGCAGGCGGUUCGGCGCGUGGGGUGUGAAAGGUGGCGGCUUAACCGCCACACGCCAUCCCAUACGGCUGAACUCGAGCCCUGCAGAGGUCCAUGGAAUUGCCGGUGUAGUGGUGAAAUGCGUAGAGAUCGGCAGGAACACCCAGGGGGAAACCAGUGGACUGGGCAGGAGCUGACGCUCAGGUGCGAAAGCGUGGGGAGCGAAC
rnacentral:rRNA from 1 species